GUAGACCACUCCUACGGGAGGCAGCAGUGGGGAAUAUUGCACAAUGGGCGCAAGCCUGAUGCAGCCAUGCCGCGUGUAUGAAGAAGGCCUUCGGGUUGUAAAGUACUUUCAGCAGUGAGGAAGGUGGGUAUGUUAAUAGCAUAUUCAUUUGACGUUAGCUGCAGAAGAAGCACCGGCUAACUCCCGUGCCAGCAGCCGCGGUAAUACGGAGGGUGCGAGCGUUAAUCGGAAUUACUGGGCGUAAAGCGCAUGCAGGUGGUUUGUUAAGUCAGAUGUGAAAAGCCCGGGGCUCAACCUCGGAAUUGCAUUUGAAACUGGCAAACUAGAGUACUGUAGAGGGGGUAGAAUUUCAGGUGUAGCGGUGAAAUGCGUAGAGAUCUGAAGGAAUACCGGUGGCGAAGGCGGCCCCCUGGACAGAUACUGACACUCAGAUGCGAAAGCGUGGGGAGCAAACAGGAUUAGAUACCCUGGUAG
rnacentral:rRNA from 1 species